rnacentral:sRNA from 1 species
GAUAUAGCGUUCUUCUUGUCA